AACGAACGUUGGCGGCGCGCCUAACACAUGCAAGUCGCACGAGAAAGGGAGCAAUCCCCGGUACAGUGGCGCACGGGUGAGUAACACGUGGAUAAUCUUCCCUCGGGCGGGGGAUAACCUUCCGAAAGGAGGGCUAAUACCGCAUAAGACCACGGCCAGUACGCUGGCUGAGGUCAAAGCAGGCCUCUUCAUGAAAGCUUGCACCUGAGGAUGAGUCCGCGGCCCAUCAGCUAGUUGGUAGUGUUAAGACUACCAAGGCUAAGACGGGUAGCUGGUCUGAGAGGAUGAUCAGCCACACUGGGAACUGAGACACGGUCCAGACUCCUACGGGAGGCAGCAGUGGGGAAUCUUGCGCAAUGGACGAAAGUCUGACGCAGCGACGCCGCGUGGGUGAUGAAGGCC
rnacentral:rRNA from 1 species